rnacentral:rRNA from 1 species
AUGUGUUUACCCAAAUGCAAAGGUGGUAUGGGUUUUCGUGAUUUGCAUGCUUUUAAUCUUGCCAUGCUUUCUAAACAAAGUUGGAGACUUAUUACUCAUCCAGAUACACUGUGUGCGAAGGUACUUAGAGCUAAGUACUAUAAUGGCAACUUAUUAAGUGCAAGGACAAAGAAGGGACCAUCCUUCACAUGGCAGAGCAUUGUGGCUGGUUUACAAACUUUC